rnacentral:rRNA from 1 species
AGAGCGAACGCUGGCGGCAGGCUUAACACAUGCAAGUCGAGCGCGUGUAGCAAUACACGAGCGGCAGACGGGAGAGUAACACGUGGGAACGUACCCUUCAGUUCGGAACAACCCAGGGAAACUUGGACUAAUACCGGAUACGUCCGUAAGGAGAAAGAUUUAUCGCUGAAGGAUCGGCCCGCGUCUGAUUAGCUUGUUGGUGAGGUAACGGCUCACCAAGGCGACGAUCAGUAGCUGGUCUGAGAGGAUGAUCAGCCUCACUGGGACUGAGACACGGCCCAGACUCCUACGGGAGGCAGCAGUGGGGAAUAUUGGACAAUGGGCGCAAGCCUGAUCCAGCCAUGCCGCGUGGGUGAUGAAGGCCCUAGGGUUGUAAAGCCCUUUGGCGGGGAAGAUAAUGACGGUACCCGCAGAAGAGCCCCGGCUAACUUCGUGCCAGCAGCCGC